GGAGUCACCCAUGCUAGAGUUCCAGGUCACUGAACCUAAGCUAAGUUGUUAUCUGACCUUUCCAGAAAUCAGGAGAGAGACAAGCAGCCAGCUUAAAUCUUCAAUCAGUGUGAUGAUGAAGUUCCCUCUGCUUUCAUCCUUACACAAAAAAGCUAAUGAGGAACAGACCAGGAACAACUACACUUCCCUGGGACUGUCGGGAUGGAUCAGAAGAGGCAGGAUGAAGACAGCAAGACCCAGAAGGAGGCUUCAGCUGUGAAUCAUGUAGCAGGGCAUGGAGCUUAAACUCAGCUGUCGGCAACCCUGAAGUUUAGCAGGAGUGAGGAGGGGAGGGCACGAUGGAGGGUUGGAUUAGGGCUGAGAAAGGGAGUAUAACUUGCACAUUUAGAGUUUGUUUUGUAAGUGGAUUCUGCUUUGAGAUUUUAUUUUGUAUUUUUUGCGAUGGAGUCUCACUAUGUUGCCCAGGCUGGAGUGCAGUGGCUAUUCACAGGCAUGAGGAUAGUGCCCUUCAGCCUCUAACUCCUGACUCAAGUGAUCCUCCUGCCUCAGUCUUCUGAGUAGCAAAGACUAUAGGCAUGUGCCGCCAUGAAAUUGUCCUCAUAGGGUUAACUAGAAUUACAUGCUGGGUUCUGGGCAGAAACAUAGUUAUAAUUAAGCAUUAAUUUGGCUGCCCUUUGGCCCACUUCCUUGUAACUGAAAGUCAUGUGGCACUAGAUACUGCCAUUUGCAUCCCCAUUGUUCCUACAGAUAGGAUUUCUGACCUUUGCAUCAUAAGGCUUUUUGUUUAGGAAUUGCUUAAGAUGUUCUUCAGAUCCUGAAUUCCAGUGGACCGGCAGACACCAACCAGUUUGAAGACCCCCACAGAGGAACUGAAUCAGCCUAAGAACGAAAUUUCUUUAUCUCCCUGUCCUGUGACUUCACUCUGCAUUCUUCAACCAAACGACGAUCCCUAUACCUCAGCCCACUCCAAAACCCUUAAAAUCCCAAGGCUGAAACUCCUCCAGGAGGUGGAUUUGAGGUUUCCUUCUGUCUCCUCAUUCAGCUGCCCUAAGAUUUUUUUUAACUCUUUCUCUGCCGCAACCCUCUGUAUUGGUGUAUUGACUUGCCCUGCUUCAAGCAACAGACCUGUUAUAGUCACAACCACACCCAGCUUACUUUGAGAUCUUUUUUCUUUUUCUUUUCUUUUUUUUUUUUUUUGAGACAAAGUCUCACUCUGUCACCUAGGCUGCAGUGCAGUGGCACGAUCUUGGCUCACUGCAGCCUCCGCCUCCCAGGUUCAAGAGAUUCUCGUGCCUCAACCUCCCAAGUAGCUGGGAUUACAGAGGCCUGCCACCGCGCCUGGCUAAUUUUUGUAUUUUUAGUAGAGACUGGGUUUCACAAUGUUGCAGUCUGGUCUCGGAUUCCUGGCCUCAAGUGAUCUGCCCGCCUCAGCCUCCCAAAGUGCUGGAAUUACAGGUGUGAGCCACCACACCCGGCCACUGUGAGAUCUUAAUUACUGUUUUUCUCUGUCUUCUCAUUUACCAUUUAUAACCCCCUUCCAACUCUCUCUAUAUCUCUUCUUUGCAUAUUUCUAUCUGUUGUACUUAUCACCAUCUGAUACACUGUAUAUCUUUUUUUAAAGACAGAAACAAAAAUGGAGCUCUUUAUUAAAAUAGCAAUAUAUGACACAUUAAAGAACAUCAUAUGUUAAAAAUAAUAC
rnacentral:lncRNA from 10 species